rnacentral:rRNA from 1 species
AGAGUUUGAUCCUGGCUCAGGACGAACGCUGGCGGCGUGCUUAACACAUGCAAGUCGAACGGAAAGGCCUAGCUUGCUAGGUACUCGAGUGGCGAACGGGUGAGUAACGCGUGGGUGAUCUGCCUCGUACUUCGGGAUAAGCCUGGGAAACUGGGUCUAAUACUGGAUAGGACCAUGCUUUAGUGUGUGUGGUGGAAAGUUUUUUCGGUACGAGAUGAGCCCGCGGCCUAUCAGCUUGUUGGUGGGGUAAUGGCCUACCAAGGCGUCGACGGGUAGCCGGCCUGAGAGGGUGGACGGCCACAUUGGGACUGAGAUACGGCCCAGACUCCUACGGGAGGCAGCAGUGGGGAAUAUUGCACAAUGGGCGCAAGCCUGAUGCAGCGACGCCGCGUGGGGGAUGACGGCCUUCGGGUUGUAAACCUCUUUC